UACGGGGGGAGCAAGCGUUGUUCGGAUUUACUGGGCGUAAAGGGCGCGUAGGCGGCGCGACAAGUCACUUGUGAAAUCUCCGGGCUUAACCCGGAGCGGCCAAGUGAUACUGUAGUGCUAGAGUGCGGAAGGGGCUACUGGAAUUCUCGGGUGUAGCGGUGAAAUGCGUAGAUAUCGAGAGGAACACCUGCGGCGAAGGCGGGUAGCUGGGCCGACACGUGACGCUGAGGCGCGAAAGCCAGGGGAGCGAACGGGA
rnacentral:rRNA from 1 species